GACGGAAGGUGCAAGCGUUAUCCGGAAUUAUUGGGCGUAAAGCGCGCGCAGGUGGUUUCUUAAGUCUGAUGUGAAAGCCCACGGCUCAACCGUGGAGGGUCAUUGGAAACUGGGAGACUUGAGUGCAGAAGAGGAAAGUGGAAUUCCAUGUGUAGCGGUGAAAUGCGUAGAGAUAUGGAGGAACACCAGUGGCGAAGGCGACUUUCUGGUCUGUAACUGACACUGAGGCGCGAAAGCGUGGGGAGCAAACAGG
rnacentral:rRNA from 1 species